UUUUCCGUAGGUGAACCUGCGGAAGGAUCAUUG
rnacentral:rRNA from 1 species